UCUCUGCCGCCCAGCGCAGCCCCGGCGCGACCCCCGCCCCCCGGCCAGGCCAUGUGACCCAGGCGGCCGUGUAGACCGGCCCCGAGGCCCGGGCCCUGCGCAUGAUGCGUCCAGGUUGGCUCCCGCGCUCUCUUCCGUGCUGUGCGCCCCGGACUCCGUGGAAGACUGGGCUGGGUUCCGGCGCUCGGCUCCGACCUCCGAGUGUCUAGCUCCGCGGCCUUUUCCGCACUCUGCGGGCUUCCUCUUUUCUCCUCUUCAGGCCCGUGGUCCAACUCCUCCUUUUCCUCCUGCGACCGGAGCAUCCUGACCCGCCUCACCACCGGCUGGGUCAGAGUGAUGCUCUUCCAGCAGGCACUGUCUUCAUGGGUCCACAGGUCUCAAACUCCAGCGUCUUGGAGUGAAAGGACUCAGGAGUGCUCACAAGAGGCUGGGCCACCGGGGGAGGCUCCCACCUGAGGAUUUGAGCUCAGUCCUUUGCAGCUAAUGAGGGACUGUCAAGGCCAAGACCUUGUUCUUGCCAUUUCAGAGAUUCAGAAUAUAAUCUACAAAGUUAUAGAUUAUAA